rnacentral:ncRNA from 1 species
GAAAAACCGUUGAGAAAGAGUAGUAAGCAUUUUUUGAUAUUACAGAGAGCUGCAGGUGGUGGGAUUGCAGUAUGGAUGGAUUUGCUGAAUGGACUUUUGAGGGCGGCCUGAACAGGAUUUAGUAGGCGCCGCCGGGAACCGGACCCGUUACCCAUCCGGCAUGUAUGGUUGUACAUGAAGUGAGUGGACUUUUCAGUCAAUAUGAGUGGUACCGCGAUAAUAGAUACUAUUACCGUCUCAGGC